rnacentral:tRNA from 1 species
GUGCUCUUAGCUUAAUUGGAUAAAGCGCCAAGCUUCGAACUUGGAGAUUAUUAGUUCGAGUCUAAUAGGGCAUU